UUUGGCAACUCCCUACUGGUGGACACACAACUUCUGAUAUUCUACUAUUGUUAUCUUUGAUUAGGUUGAUUGACUUGGUUCAUCAGGAUCAGUUCUCAAAAUUGAAGCCUGUGGAAGGCCAAUUAGGCCAUGCCCUCACCACCACCAUGAAUAGAGGAUGCCAUCGUUCAACAAAGCCUGUGGACCUGCACUGGAUAUUCAGACUAAGCAUUUCACCCCUUAUGGCUUGGUUCCACCACUCUAAGGGGCUGGUUGGCAGUGUAUCCUCUGCAACUUAUCCCGUGUGAAGCUGUUGCCACCGGUAGGGUAUGUGUUCACCACAUGUUGCUGUUGUCUGGCUUGUUUUUGCUCUAUUCAAUUUUAUUCCUACACAGGUUGCUGAGCUGUUGGGGUCAUUUGGAUAGGUUUACCUGUGAUUUCCACUAUUUGGCAAGGUUUAUUUUAUUUGUAACAAGUUGAGAGCUUAAUAGCCUUAGCUAGAUGGGAAUGUUAGAAUAUUAACAUUAUUACAUUAUUUGUCAUUUUAUAAUGACUCUUAUUUGUGUAUUUUUGCAUUUUAUAACUACAUUGGUAAAUGAUAAAUUGUUAUUUAA